UACGUAGGGUGCAAGCGUUGUCCGGAAUUAUUGGGCGUAAAGAGCUCGUAGGCGGUCUGUCGCGUCGGAUGUGAAAACCCAGGGCUCAACCCUGGGCCUGCAUUCGAUACGGGCAGACUAGAGUUCGGUAGGGGAGACUGGAAUUCCUGGUGUAGCGGUGAAAUGCGCAGAUAUCAGGAAGAACACCUAUGGCGAAGGCAGCUCUCUGGGACGGUACUGACGCUGAGACGCGAAAGCGUGGGGAGCGAACAGG
rnacentral:rRNA from 1 species